GUGGAGCAGCCCUCUUGUUGGUAAACUUGUUCAAAUGUUUAUCAACUACAGUGAGCCACAUAUACAGUACAACAUUGUCCCCCUGCUACUGUGAUUAUAUACUGCAGCUGGAGGACACACAUUUACUCCUUCAUCACGGGCUACACAAUAUGGAUUAAAGUGUCAGAGACUGACUGAACUAUCCUGAUAGUCUCCACCUAAUACCAGCAAUAGUGGUUGUCUCUGUGAUUCUGAGCCCUUACACAGUCUGCCUUGUGUGACACCCACCUAGGCAAGUAUCAUAAAAUCCUCACUAGAUGUCCUCCCAUCCGGUCAGUGGGCAGCAAGAUUGUGUUACCUGUUCAUUUGGACAAAAUUCCUGUGGACUUUUCAUCUGUGUGUGGUCCAAACAUUUAUGGUUGAACGGACUCUAUAAAUAUUGCACUUAAAUCUGCUGAUACUCCUUCGGACCAACGCUAAUUGGAUCUCACCCUGGCAAAUACCUCAGGACAGCCUCCAGCCACCAUCUCUCCUCUAAGAUGGCUGCUCAAUGACCACCAGCUCUCACACCAGCCAGCAUGAGCCAGCCUCUCCCUGACGCUGCAUGUGAUAUCUGUGUAUCCAGUGCACGGGUGAGAGUUCCCAUUCACCAUGUGCUAGCUCUGUAGCUCUAAUCAUACUGU